AGACAACCGUAUUUUCUUCAAAGUCCAUUGAGAGGUAAACCGUGGUCUGUCGUUAAAUAAUACGUGUGACGAUGCUGGACUGUGAUUUCGGAAAAACAGCGUACACACAAACAAUUUAACCAGUAUUUUCCACCACUCGUCGUCGAAAAUACAACGCUCUCGGUUCAGUUUUCGAAGUAAACCAAGUGCUGACUUGUCGGAAACUGUUAU